CCGAGUGAGGGCCCUCUGGGUCCAACCUCCCACCCGUGCUUAUCGUACCUUGUUGCUUCGGCGGGCCCGCCAUUCUGGCCGCCGGGGGGGCUUCUGCCCCCGGGCCCGCGCCCGCCGAAGACACCUCGAACUCUGUCUGAAGAUUGCAGUCUGAGUGUCAUUAUAAAUUAGUUA
rnacentral:misc_RNA from 1 species